rnacentral:piRNA from 1 species
UCCUAAGUACAAUCUAUCAUAGGGUCUCUCC